UGUAAAGAAAACCUGUGUUUCCCUCCCAUUGAUGAAUCAGAAACAAAACUGAACAAUCCACAACAAAAGGCUGUAGCUGUCAUGCGAUAGAAGAGUCCUCUUUGUGAUGGCCGACUUGCAUGUAAAAAUCAUCAGUUGAUACUUCUGCCAGUUGAAGAAGAUAUAUUUAUGAAAUCAAGCCAUGCACAUAUAACAGACCAUCAAUGGGCAGGUGAACAUCACAGUUCCAUAUGGCUGAUGUAAAGGACCGAGAGACAAUGACUCGUCAAAGACCACCCACUGAAUCCUUGACUGACGUGACCAUCUGGAUUUCUGCACCACAUCACAACUUUUAAGAAAUGGAAGUCCUCAAACUGUGCCACCUAAUACAGAUGUUCUGGGCUAUAGUGGUUCCCUUGCUGUAAAUGUGCCGGGGGGUGGGUGGGAGGGAAUCUCCUUUAGGCAAUCAUUAACUUACUCUGUUCAAGAGGAACAAAACUAGUUUCCUCUCUAUUGUGGAAAAAAGGUGGCAGGGGUCAGAGGCCUGGCACAAUGAUGGAUCCUCGGUGAAAGGUUUUCUUCCCUUUUCACACAAGUGGAGCUCAGCCGCGCUCUUCGCGCUUGGCCAAAGCAGCGAGAAUCCCUCUCCACACACAUACACACACGGUGCAGAGGCAGCUUUGUUUGAAAGAGGCUGCUUUCUGCAGGAGGUCCGGUCAUCCCGGCCUUGGGCCCACUCUUCUUUAGGUUGCCAAAGCCCGUUCUGCACCGUUGUGGCCCCAAGAGAGAGAGAAAGGAGCCAGCCAACGCCGGGGAAUUCCACUGCUAUUUCUCAAGCACAGAGCACUGUCUCACAAUGUCCCCAAAAACAGCUGGACACUCCAUGACCUCUGAUGCUGGCAUCAAAGAAUACACAGGCUCUACAGGAGAGCUGCUCAAAUCUUGUUUCUGAGGAGAGAUGGAAGCAAAAGAAAACAGGCCCAGCAGUAGCUUGGAUCACACCAGUUGCCUGCUGCUGGGGAUAACAGCACAGCCUCAAAUUGUUCCCUGUAAUAAGCAAGAAGGGCUAGCUGGCUUCUAGAUUGUACCACAGGACUGUAAGUGGCAGGGAUAGAGAAACUCUGUAGUAACUAGCUCAAAUUAAGUGCAAUAUUCUCCAUAAAGCAAAGAUACUAAAGGCAGGCAGGUUUCUUUUCUUUCUUUCAAAUAGCAAAAACGUGAAACCCCCUUACCGUUUGAAAUUGUUCAAGUUCAGAAUUCUGCAACCUUCUGUUUCCUUAACAGCUCUGAAGCAUUUCACUACACCCACAUGGAAGCCUUAUAUUUUUAAAGCAAAGGGAGCUAAACUGUUUCUUUGCUUGUCUUUAAAUGUUUGGUGCUGCACCAAGAGUAGAAUGGGAGUUAAUUUAUGCUAGUGUCCCAAACAUUAAAAUCACAGGAUGGAGGUAUUUAGAUAUUAGGAGCAGCCGCAUCAACCUACUAGUGCAAAUGGCAAGAUGACUCAGACUUGCUGGAAGGCUGGAACACUUCCCUGCCUGGCUGUCAAAUCACAAGGAAGUGUCUCAGUUCUGCUACUUCAUGGAUCGGGCAAACGCAUGCAGUGACAGGUUGAUCUGUGCUUGGGUUGAUCUUGUAAACUUGUCCUUAUAUGCACCAGCUUGAUGCUUGAAAAGCAAGGCUGGGCACCUUCCCCUGAGUAAAUUGUCACAAUCUGCCAGUUCAAAGAGCAUGUGUGGAGAGAGAUCAAGAAUCAUAACCUGAAGGCCCAAUCAGAUGAAACGGGCAGCUUUGCAAUUAAGAGGAAUUAGUGGGCUGUCCUGAAUCAUUCUUAUAGGGAGGUAUUCUUCAACUCUGCCAUUUUGCAUACUCCAUAUGCAAACAGAGCUGGUCGUUUCUGCUGGACGAGCAGUCACUAAACAAAAUUAAAUGACUUCACACCAGUGAAAGAUAUAGAAGGAUGAUCUCCUCUACUGCUUAAUUCAGCUUUUAGUUGCACAUAUCUCAGUUUCAUCUUGUCUGGUCUUCACAUUUGUGUGUUUGUGUGUGUCCGUGUUUUUUUAAAAACUACAGACAACUAGAGAAGAAGAAAAAGCUUAAUGCCCAGUGGUUUCCCUCCUGUGGAAAACUGAAAGCCACACAUUCAGGUUGAUGAAAGUUCUAUGGGGGAUAAAAAUUGCAAGAACCUCCAAAGGCAGAGAGAGUAAGACAAAGAUGCUGAACUAUUUUUUGCCCCUCUUUCCUAGAGCCAUCUACAUUCAACAAUUCCCAGUAGCCUGGCUGAAUCUUUUCUAAGACACCUCUAGCUGCCAGGAUUCAUCAGUCCUGGUACAAGUUUGAUCAAAGGCAGCAAUGCUUGAAAAGGUGAAAGUUCAUUGACUGAUUGGGUGUCUGCCCUCGGGCCAGACAGUCUGGGCCAAGGAAAGUAUUUUGGCUUUUCUGCCUGGCUUUGGUAAUAUGCCAGAGUCCUGGAUACGAAGGAAAGUCCCCCGCCUUGGGAAAGCUAUCUGCCCGCUCAGCAGCAGAUAGCCAAGGGGAAGACAAUGACAGGAUAACCAUGUUUGAGAUGAAUGAGCAAGUAGUGGGUCUGGAUAAGAGACAGUAACACAAUCCCCCUUCAGAGAUCAGAUUCCAACUAAAUGUAUCCUGCCUUUCUUAAUAUUGAAUCCAACCCAACUGAAUGGUCUCUGAUUAAAAUUCUCAGGGGGAAACUAGCAAUUUUCUGCUUUCCAGAGAACACUUUUUCAUCCUGUUUUGUGCCACUGUCUUGCUUGACCAUUGUAGUUUCAGCACCAUUUGUUUUCCAGAUUAUCAGUCCUUGCCUCUUCCUAAAUUCGUCAUGUGGAAGAUGGGGAAUUGUGCAUUGAGUGGAAUCUAUCAUGAUGCUGGCCGGCCAAUCAAACGGAUAGCAAGCAGAGCAUCUGAAGGCAAUAUACAAAGAACACUCAACAGUGACAGAAAGAGAGGCAUUUUGGAGCACUUCUAAAAGCGUCUGUGGAAAAUCUGUGACCAUUUUUUGGCUCUGCUCUAGGAUAAGGGAAUGUCUGUGAAAAUCACAUUUAUCUGCACAGAAUAUGUACUGUAGAUCGGAAUUAUG